UGGCACCCCACUCGUGUCAGGUGUGUGCU
rnacentral:piRNA from 1 species